UUUUAAGUAGCUUAUUUAAAGCAAUACACUGAAGAUGUAUAUAAAAUUCUUGUUAAUUCUUAAUUA
rnacentral:tRNA from 1 species